rnacentral:piRNA from 1 species
UAGGCAGACGUUGAUACUUUGAGGUGGUU